rnacentral:rRNA from 1 species
UAAAAAAUUUGGCGGUAUUUUAGUCUAUUCAGAGGAACCUGUCUUGUAAUCGAUAAUCCACGAUGGACCUUACUUAAUUUUGUAUUCAGUUUAUAUACCGUCGUUAUUAGAAUAUUUUAUAAGAAAGUUAAUUUUCAAGAUUUUUAAUUAGAAAAGAUAUCAGAUCAAGGUGUAGCUUAUAUUUAAGUAUUGAUGGGUUACAAUAAAAUUAUUUAAAUGGAUAUAAAUUUGAAAAAUUUAUUGAAAGUGGAUUUGAUAGUAAAAUUAUAAAGAUAAAUAAUUUGAUUUUAGCUCUAAAAUAUGCACACAUCGCCCGUCACUCUUAUUAUUAAGGUAAGAUAAGUCGUAACAUAGUAGAUGUACUGGAAAGUGUAUCUCGAAUGCAAUUUAAAGCUUAUUUAGUAAAGCAUUUCAUUUACAUUGAGAAGAUUUUUGUGCAAAUCAAUAUAAAUUGAUUAUAUUUUAUUUAUUAAAUAAUUUUUUUUUUAUUAUAAAUUAUUAAAAGUUAUUAUUAUAAGAUUUGUUUAAGUAUUUUAUAAAGAAAAAAUAAUUUUAAUUAUAGUUAAAUAGUAUUGUGAAAGAAAAUUGAAAUAAUUGAAAAAU